rnacentral:lncRNA from 10 species
UUUUCUGCCGCCCUCCUCUCUCUUCUUGCUUCAGAGCAACACCCCCACCCCCACCCUGUCACAUGAAUGUACAGUGACGUUAUUCAUAGAUCAACUUCAUUGAGCUCUGGCCAAUACGCUGCCAAUUAUUCUUUCAAAUAGCGUCUUCUCUGUGUUAUCAAAGCCUGAGUAAGAAAGCGGCAGAUCCUCUGGUUUGCCAGACAUACUUUUCUGGUUGCUCACAUCUCUAGUGUCACAACAGGAGCCAGGAAGAGGGGAAUUUGGACACAGAGGCACGGAGAGAAGAAGGCCGUGUGAUGAUGGAGGCAGAGGUUGGAGUGAUGUGGUCACAAGCCAAGGAACCCCAAGAACUGUGAGCCACGAUCAGAAGCCAGUGGAGAGGCACAGAACAGAUUCUCCCUCAGAGUCACCAGAAGGAACCAAUGCUGCCAACAUCUUGAUUUUGGACUUUUAGCUUCCAGAGCUGUGAGAGAAUAAAUUUCUGCCUUUUAAGUCCUCCAAUUUGUGGUGAUUUGUUCUGGAAGCUUUAGACAGUGCCACAGAGAGGAAAACUACGAGCAAAUGACACACUAAGAGUUGCAUUUGACCUGACACCAACAUGGUCUCCCGACCCCUCUGGAGAACACCAUGAGGCAUUAGUUUCUCCUCUCACCGAGGAGUGAACUGAACCCUGAGAGCCAAGCAACUCACCCAUGUCUCUCAGCUGCUGAGUGGCAGAACCAGGGUGCAAGCCUGUGUCUCUGGCUCUGAGACCCAUGCUCCACACAGCCCACCUCUUAUGGAUGGGGUGGAAAUGGGGUGGGAUGAGAGCAGGUAGGGAGAGGAGGGAAGAAGAAGGGGAAAGGGAAAUGGAGAGGGAGUGGGGAGAGUAGGAGGUAGAGACUGUUGGGGAGAGAGAAGGGAAGGUGGAGGGAAUAGGGGAAGAAGAUGAGAGAGUGAGGCAGCUCUAGGCAGUUCCCUCCCCCACUCAAUCUUAGCAAAGGACAGAAGCUCCCCACAGCAUCCCAGGGUACAAGGCCCCUUAGGUAAGUCACUGGUAAUCUUGGCAGGACUGGGUUCUAUGGAAGGGUGUAGGCAAAAGCCCCAGUAGGAUAGAUUUGGGGGAGAAUUGGAGAGAUCAAGAAUAAAUAACUCUUUCAAGGAUUUUUGCUGUAAAUGGGGACUGAAAACCAAGGUGGUAACUGGAGGAGUAUACGGAGUCAAGAGUGGAAUUUUUUUAACAUGGGAAAAAUUAAAGCAUGUUGGUAGGCUGUAGGGAGUGAACUAGCAGAGAGUAACAACAUGAUGAUGGGGGAGAGGAGAACCACUGAUGCGAUGCCCUAGAGUAGGCAAGAGCGGAUAGGGUCCACUGCGCAUGCACAAGGGCUGGCCAUCUUCCAUGGCAGCAGGAGGGGAGUCAUGUUGACACAGACUCUCUGGUGGUAGAAGACGUGCAGCUGGGGAAGUUCUGUUCUGGUUUCUUGUACUUUCUUAGUGGAGUCAUCAGAUGACAGCAAGAAUGAGGAAGGUGGUACCCCUGCAGCUUUGGGAGAGAGGAGGAGUGACACAGUCAUCCAGAUGAGUGGGGCAGUGGAGUGACUGGACUGUCAGGGUAAUACAUGCAUGUCCCUCCAAAAGCUGUUCCAAUGAUUCAGCCUGAACACACACACAAAGUGCUUAGAACAGUGCCUGACAUAACAAACACACAACAAAUAUUAGCUCAUAUUUUUUAUUACUCUUCCUAAAUUAUCUUAAUCUUCAAGAAUAACAUCACAGGGUGGACUGAAGCCCCAGGUGGUCUCCACUUUUAUGUUUCCUGGGAUCAACCCCUGGAAAACAGCCCCUUCAUCUGAAAACCAAUGGAAACUUUGCCUGCCCAGGACAUUUCCUUGCACAUGUCCAGAAAGGAGCCGAUCUGGAAGGCAGCCUUUGCUGGCAGCAGCCAUGGCAGCAGCACACUGUGCUCUGCUGAAAGGAGAGACCACUUAAAUGAGGUAGCUCUUUAUUGGUAAUGACAGUUCCCACUCACCUCGGGAUUUCUUCAGGACCUAGUGUGGCCCUUGUGCUCCCAGUUUCCAGUGACUUUAGGAUGAUGCCACAUGUGGUACAAAUAAUAAAGAAUGGGCCUGGACUGGUGGCUCAUGCCUGUAAUCCCAGCACUUUGGGAGGCCAAGGCAGGCAGAUCACGAGAUCAGGAGAUUGAGACCAUCCUGGCUAACAUGGUGAAACUCCAUCUCUACUAAAAAUACCAAAACAAAAUUAGCGGGGCGUGGUGGCGGGUGCCUGUAGUCCCAGCUACUCAGGAGGCUGAGGCAGGAGAAUGGUGUGAACCUGGGAGGGAGCUUGCAGUGAGCCGAGAUUGCCCCACUGCACUCCAGCCUGGGUGACAGAGUGAGACUCUGUCAAAAAAAAAAAAAAAAAAAAAAAAAAAAAGAAAGAAAAAAAAAAAGAAAAAAAAAAGAAAGAACAAACAGCUACAGAGUGUGCAGACUUGGGGGAUUUCUGUGCAGGGGUCCUUAUUGUAAACUUCCAGCCAUGAGAAUGGGUUAACUGAUGAAUAAAGGUAAAUCAUCCAUGUGGUCACAGGAGCAGGGUGACUGGGGAGAUGUUGGGGAAGAUGGUGCAAUGUACUGAACCAGGAGUCCAAAGGCUUGGGAUGUUAUCCUGGCUCUGCCACAGUGAAACAAGGCACCUUGAAUGAUUAAGAUUCCUUUUGGGUAAACAAGAAUGAUGAUGAGAAUGAAGAAGAUGAAGAUGGUGAUGAUAGCUUUACUCUGGCUCUAAUGAAACACAGUCCCUACAUUUCUGAACUCUGUGCUCCAAAAGGAUGGGGAUUGAAGGAGGCAAGAUUCCUGUGACAGCUGUCUUCUGGGUGCUCUCCCAUAGGCCCUCUCCAUUCUGGACUGCCUCUGUGGGCUUCCUUGCCCUCUGGCUCUAGACUGGAUUCAAUCAUGCAAGACUCCAGCUGGAGAUCAGAAGCCGGGAGGAGCAUGAGGUCAGAUAUUUAGAUGCUAAAUCUAAUGGCCCAUCUUCAGUACUGAAUUUACUAGGCUGUGAGCAUAAAUGGACAUUUGUGAUCACUCCCUCUUUGAAAUGGGUUUGUCUCUGGAUUUAGGGACUUCCUGCUACUACGGGCUUUCCUGCUCCCUCACUGACUUUUCAGAAUUAUUUUUUGAAUUGUCCUCAUUUCUCCAACCUCUCAGCCAGAGGUCUGAGGACCCCAGAGUUCAGAAUUCAGUCUAUUUUCUAUUUAUACUCAUUCCCUAGAUGAACGUAACCAUGGCUCAUUCAAAGCUCAGGACUUUAAGCAUUUAUACAUGCUGAAAAUUUCCAAACUUAUAUUUCCAGCCUGCACCUCCUCCUAUAUUCCUGACUUAUGUUUUCUUCUUAACACUUAUCACUAGCUGAUAUUCUAAAUAUUUUAUUUAUUUUCUCACAGACAAAUGUAAGCUAUACAAGGCCAGAGUCUUCUUUUAAAAACUUUGUACUAGGGAACAUUUCAAAUAUACAAUAAACCCCUGUAUCCAUCAUCAGCUACAACAGUCACCAAUUCCUGGCCACUCUUAUAUAACUUAUACCACCCCCUCCACCAGCAUCGGAUUAAUCUGCAGCAGAUCACAGCCAUCAUAUCAUUUAAUCCAUAAAUACCUUUAUAUAUAUCUCUAAAAGAUAAAGACACAUAAAAUACAGCCCUAGUAAUUCAUUACUAUCAUCAAAUAUCUAGUCAGUGUUCAAAUUUUCCUAGUAGUUUCAUAAACUUUUUUUUACAUACUAGCAUGUAGUUAGAAAAAUAAAUCGUUUAAAAAAUGAAAAACAAUUUUUACUGUAGUAAAUUAUACAAAACAUGAAAUAUACCAUUUUACCCAUUUUUAAGUGUAUAGAUCAAUACCAUUGACUACAUUUGCAUUGUUGUGCAACCAUCACCACCAUCUAUCUCCAGAGCUUUUUUUCAUUAUCCCAAACUGAAACUCUGUACCCACUGAACGCAUCAUUUUUUUUUUCUUGGAGACAGAGUCUGUCGCCCAGGCUGGAGUGCAGUGGCACGAUCUCAGCUCAUUGCAAUCUCCGCCUCUCAAGUUCAAGCGAUUCUCUUGCUUCAACCUCCUGAGUAGCUGGGACUAGGGAUGCCCGCCACCACGCCCGGCUAAUUUUUGUAUUUUUAGUACAAAUGAGGUUUUGCCAUGUUGGCCAGGUUGGUCUCGAACUCCUGACUUCAGGUGAUCCGCCUGCCUCGGCCUCCCAAAGUGUUGGGAUUGUAGGCGUGAGCCACCGCACCCAGCCAGUGAUUUUUAAAUAGUGAGUUUGUUUGUAUCAGAACAUGUAAGACUCAUAGAUUGCAUGUGCUUGAUAUCUCUUUUUAGUUCAUAGAUUUCCCUCUUUCUCUUUUUCACCCCUUUACAAUUUACUAUUGAGGAAAUUGGAUGUUUUGCUGUGGAUCUCACUGAUUGCACUGAUGUCAUUUAACAGAUUCCUCUGUAUUUCCUGCACACUGGUAGUUGGAUUGUGAAACUUCUUCAGAUUCAGGCUUGUUUUUUGUUGUUAGCCUGGCGUACUUUAUAGGCGGUGCUGCGUCAGAAGUCCCAGGGUGUCUUGUUGUCUCCCUUUUGGUGUGAGCUGCCAUUGAUGAUCAUGACCCAGAUCUUUUAAUUCAUUAGAGGGUUGCAAGAUGAUGAUAAUCUAUUUUUUUUCACUUAUGUGGAAUACACCUAUACCAGGAAACAUCCUAUCACCAACUAUGGAGUUACUUGGAGGCAUAGCUCAUUUAGGGACAGCUGGUUUUCGGAAUAAUACAUCUAGCAUCUUCAAAAUGCGACCACUGAAAAAAACAGGAGAGACAAAUUGAGUAGCUCCCAGGCUGAGGACUGGAAACAGUGCUGAGGUUGAGGACAGCCAGGCUACUGACAGCAAGCACAGAAGGUGCGGGGCAGAGGAGAGUCCUGCUUCUCUAACCCAGCUACUUGCGCUUUCCACUGGUCGGGGAUGUUGUGUGUGCUGGGGUUAUUUUAAGCCACACAGUGAAUGUGGUUCAUCUUCUGGGGGAUAUCAAUUUUACUUGAAGAGUGGGGGAAACGUUUUCUACACUCAAAUAAAUACAGAAACUUUAUGGAAUAAGGUAGAAAAAGCACAUGCAUUUUAAAGUGAAAAACAGAUUUUUCUCUUUUGCUGUAGGUCUUUUUAUGCAUGAUUUUCAGACCUCAGGGAUUUGUCUUCUAUCUUCUGCUUGUGGGAAGCGCUGCACCAGAACAUUGCUGUGGGUCUGUUCAGCCUGAAGGGCCACAGGCCGAGGAGACAGGCCAACUCUAGCCCCGGCAAGCAUGUCAGAGAAGCCGACUUGGCCUCCAGCACAGCACCCUGGGCCAGGAGCACAUUCUGGGUGUUGAGUGUACCCUGGACGACAUUGUUACAUGUGCUUUCCCAAAUCCACGGACUUCUGGCUGAUCCGGGGUUGCAAUAUGCACUGCACCACCAUCCUCUCUCUUGGAAAUUCCCUUCGGCUGGGAAAGAAAUGGAUGAUCAAGGUCAGUGGUUUCCAACCAGGCUGAACAUCAGAAUCCACAGGAAUGAUGCUAAGCCCCAUUUCACCUCUGAGACUUUCAGGUUCAAGCGUCUGGAAUGGGGCCACAGAUCUGAAUUUUUAAAGAAGGGUUCUGGUUGACUCUGACAGUUACAUUAAAUGAGUAUAUUUUGGAACCACCAGGCUGAGUGGCCUUAAAAUUUUCUUCAAGAACUAAGGCUCCAGGGCAGGAGGGUACUAGGGAAACUGCCUGGCCACCUGACCCUUCUCUGAUCUCCUCACUCUCUCAGGUGACCCCUUCCUGGACCUAGCAUCCCUCAACUUUUCUGACUUCCCUGGACCAGGCUGGGAACUCACAUUCUCUUCUAGAGAAUAGAAUGCAAUAGAGUUGAUGGGAUGUCACUUUUGAUAUUAGUAUGUAAAAAGGCUGUGCACUCUCUCUUGCCUUCUCACUUGCUUUGAGGGAAGCCCACUGCCAUGUUGCAAGUUGCCCUGUGAAGAGGCCUCCAUGACAAGGAACUGUAGGGUCCCCUGGACAACAGCCAGCAAGGCAAUGAGACCCUUAGUCUCAUCAAUAGUCUACGAGGAACUGAAUCUUGCAAGAACCACAUGGAUGAGGUUGCAAGGUCCAAUUAGAUAAACUCAUCCUCGCUGGCAGAUAAUGGCACCAAUGUGAUCAUCCUCCUAGAGGUAUUUUCAUCUUGGUAUGGAGCCUCCAGAGCUAUCUUUGCUUGAAAGAAUGAAACUUCAGGAAUGAAAGUUUGCACAUAAAGCAAGCCCAUGAGAAAGACAUUUCGGGAAAACUAGAAUCCUGUUAAGUUAUGGGAUUUUUUUCAAGCCACAUGGUUGAUAAGUAGUCUGACCAGGAUCCUGGAGCAACACAAGGAAGACAAGGACCCUUGAAGACAAGGCAGCCUUGAAACCAAAUGAAGCCCUGGGCCAGUGAGCAUGGCAAGAGGAAGACUGUUAAUUGCGAGAAAGCUGGGUCUUGAAGAUGAUUCCAUAUCAACAUACAGGGAGUUCCACCACUGAAUGGUCUAUCGGUUGGGAAUGCCAUCAUUUAUUUUCACCAGUGGGGAAGAAUUGGUAUUAAUAUCAAAACCACAGUACUGUCAUACCCAGCUAUAAUUUGCAAUGUUUAUAUGCCUGUACGAAUGAAUAAUUAACAGUUAAAUGAAUCAAUAUAUAUCUAUCUAUGUGUAGGAAUAUCUAAUCUAUAAUAUAUGCUCGCGUAAGUGGUAAUUAAUCUCUUUUUUGAGACAGGGUCUUUCUCUGUCAUACAGGCUGGAGUGCAAUGACAUGAUUAUGGACCUUCAGGGAUUGAGCAGCUCGACAUCCCAAGGAUCAAGCAAUCCUCCGGCCUCAGCCUACCAAGUAGCUGGGACUACAGCCAUUUGACACCCCACCCAGUUAAUUUUUGUUUUUUGUUUUUUUGUAAAGACAAGGUUUAGCCAUGUUGCCCAGGCUGGUCUGGAACCCCUGGGUUCAAGCAAUCCUCCCACCUCAGCUUCCCAAAGUGCUGGGAUUAUAGGCAUAAGCCACUGCACCCAGCAUAAAUAAUCUCUUAUUUGUUCAUCCAUGGUGUUGUCUUUAGUUUUUAAAAAUGGAUCCUUUUGUUAUUCUUUUAUAGCCCCAGAUUAAGAAUUUGUCCAAGUUUUGUAUAUUUUUUCAGUUAUUUCAAUAUCAAAGCCCAGCACAUCUUUAAAAUCACUUCUAUGUAUAGAUAUUAACCUUUUUGACAUUUGUGUUUUGGUAUUCCAUAUUUACUCAGUUCUCCUUUCACACCCUCCCUUUAGAAGAGGAGUAUGACCAUGGCAGGAUGGAGGGGUAGUGGCAGUAGGGGCCAUAGUAUGUUUUCUAUAUUUAUCCAGCAUAUUUAAAACAUGGUAUUCUAGCUUCAAGGGAGAACAUUGAACUCCCAUUUGGACAUGUUAAGUUGAAGAUGUCUGUUAGACACCCAAGAGAAUAUGUCAAGCAGAUAUCAUCUGCCCUUGUUUUUCCUUUUCCAAACUGGCUCUCCUUAGUUCCAUCUCCAGAUGACAUGGUCCUCAAACCCUUUGUGAUCUUGGUUCUCUACUCCAGUUCUUCAAUGUUUUUCUUGAAUGUGGCACCCAGAAUUAAAUAGAGCACCCCAGAUAAUGGCUGCCCAGCAGGAUAGACAUGUGUUUGUUAUAUAAUUCUUAGAGACUAUAGCUGACGUCACUGGUGCCCAGCCCAUAUCUUCUUGAGCCCUAGCAUUUUCGUGCAUGGUGGCCUGAUUUCUAACUGUCAGCACCUAAAUAUCUUUGCCUGAGGACUUUCUCUGUCGGCCAGAGCCUGCUUUGUGCACAGUCAGAAGUGCCAAGGAGUCAACACUCCCCAAAGGAGUCUUCAGCCAGUAACGAAAUGAAAGGUGGAGUAUAAAAACCCCAGCUCCCUCACCACUCAGCUGGGGUAGCCCUGAGAUUCAUGCUCUCCACCCUCUUCAGAGUUUCCCGGCAGCAUCAUGUUCCUGUUACCCUUCUCACUACUGACUUGAUGCUCAUCCUUUCUUGGCUCCUUCCCUGUGUCACUUCCCCCAUCCCAUAUGGGAGAAGGCUUCCUGGGUUCACCUUCCAAAGUAAUUACUGGUACUGGAAUUCUCAUCUCAAGUUUUGCCUUAGGGUCACCCAAACUAAGACAGUGCCUAAUGCUGCAUCAGCUUUCUUACCAGUCACAUGAUGCUGUUGUAUCCUUAAUGUCAGAUAAACUCCCAGCUUCUUUUUAUGUCAACUGCUACCAAGCCACACAUUCUCAGUGCUGUGCCUUUGUUAUUGAUUUUUUAACCUAAACUCAGAGUUUAUGUUUAUUCCUGUUAUACUCUUAAGUUUUUUUCCAUAUUCCAACCUAACAGAAUAACUUUGAAUAUUGAUUUGUUCUUUCGUUGUGUUAACUAUCCCUUCCAGACAUGAGUCAUAUGUAGAAAUCUGAUAAGCAUGUUUCCUGUGCCUUCAUUCACUUAAAACAAACAAACAAACAAACUUUGAACAAGGUAGGGUUAGGAAAAGAAUUCUAAACUCAAUUCCUCCCAUUGUUCAAUAAUCAAGAUUCUUUCAGUAAGAAUGCUUAUUGGUAGUGAUUCAAACUAUCUGCACCAGUUCAACCCAGAAUUUACAAAUUUGCCCAUAGGAAUAUCAGGCAAGCUCAGCUCAGUUGCUUUGCUAGAAUAGAGAAGAUCCACAAUUAUGUCAUGCCUCUGAUACAUGAGCCUAUAACCUUAUCAGAAAGGAAAUAUGGUUCAUUUGGCUUGUUAUUAGCAAUUUUAUUUUAACCACUAAGAACCUCUGAAUUCAUUUCUAAAACCCUCCAAUCUUCCUUUUAUUUUCUUUUAUUUAUAUAUAUAUAUUUUUAUUUUAUUUUACUUUAUUUUUGAGACAGAGUCUCACUCUGUCACCAGGCUGGAGUGCAGUGGCAUGAUCUCGGCUCACUGCAACCUCUGCAUCCCGGGUUCAAGCAAUUCCUCUGCCUCAGCCUCCCAAGUAGCUGGGAAUACAGGUGCACACCACCAUGCCCAGCUAAUUUUUGUAUUUUUAGUAGAGAUGGUGUUUCACCAUGUUGGCCAGGAUGGUCUCGAUCUCUUGACCUUGUGAUCUGCCCACCUCGGCCUCCCAAAGUGCUGGGAUUACAGGCGUGAGCCAUCACGCCUGGCCUCCAAUCUUCCUUUUAAUAAUUUGAUCUGGAAUUUUAUCAGGGAGCUAUGCAUGCAUGUCAGGGGAGAUCAAGUUUAUGGUUUCCAGAAUCUACACUUUCUUUUUGAGAAUGGGAACUUUUGCCAGUACAUUGUUUUCCUAUCCUCAUUUCCAUAAUUUCUCAACAACAGUAAGUAGUUUUAAGGUCACAUUUGCAAGUUUUUUGAGGAGCCUGGGAUGUAACUUUUCUGGAGACUUCAACCUACUUUAAAUGGUCACAUGCCCCCUGUGUCCCUCACUGCCUCCCUUCUGCUGAGCUCUCCCCAGUCCUGGGAAGGCUGAUUCUUUAGCUAGAGAACCCAGACCAGCCCUGUGGCCUCAUAUUUCCACAUCAGCCUUCUUGAAUCUGUGUUCCUCCCCCCUCACUUAUCUUUUUACAUCAAACACAUGGCUCAAAGCUUUUGAUAUUUGACUUGACUCUUCAGGACCCCAAGCUCCUCUGACUCAGCCCUCCACCCCCCACCCCUAACCCACGGCCCACUCUGCUUGAGGGCUCCCCAAAACCUCAAACUCCACCGUAAGCUCCCUGAGCAGCCACAAGGAUUUUGGGGUUUGGUUUGGUUUUGCCUCUUACUCCCUUUUCAUUUUCCCUGGCAUCAUUCACAUUCACCAAUCAGAUUCAUUUUUAUCAUCUCCUAUUCCUCAUGAGAAAUACAUUUUUUUAUAACCUUUUACCUUGAAUUCAAAUCCAUUUUUCCUCUGAAGCACCUGAGGUGAGGUGGGUAUCUCCUCUUGUCCUAAUCUUAUCCACAUGCCAUGAUAUGGUUUGUCUGUGUCCCUACCCAAAUCUCAUCUUGAAUCAUAGCUCCUGUAAUCCCCAUGUGUUGUGGGAAGAACCUGGUGGGAGGUAAUUGAAUCAGAGGGGUGGGUUUUUCCCAUGCUGUUCUUGUGAUAAUGAAUAAGUUUCAUGAGAUCUGAUGGUUUUAUAAAGGCGAGUUCCCCUGCAAAAUGCUCUCUUUCCUGCCACCAUGUAAGAUGUGACUUUGCUUCUCCUUUGCUUCCACCAUGAUUGUGAGUCCUCCCCAGCCAUGUGGAACUGUGAGUCAAUUAAACCUCUUUCCUUUAUAAAUUACCCAGUCUCAGAUAUGUCUUUAUUAGCAGCAUCAAAACAGACUAAUACACACCACCAGUUUUCCUCCUGCAUGUUCCUCAGUUCUGCUAGAACUGUAAAAAGAUGGAUUCCAUAGACUGGAGUCACCCUGAGGGCAGGGAUGGACCCCUAU